GACGAACGCUGGCGGCGUGCCUAAUACAUGCAAGUCGAACGCUUCUUUUUCCACCGGAGCUUGCUCCACCGGAAAAAGAGGAGUGGCGAACGGGUGAGUAACACGUAAGGAAUCUACCUAUAAGCGGGGGAUAACGUUCGGAAACGGGUGCUAAUACCGCAUAAUAUCUUCUUCCGCAUGGAAGAAGAUUGAAAGACGGCUCUGCUGUCACUUAUAGAUGACCUUGCGGUGCAUUAGUUAGUUGGUGGGGUAAUGGCCUACCAAGACGAUGAUGCAUAGCCGACCUGCGAGGGUGGUCGGCCACAUUGGGACUGAGACACGGACCAAACUCCGACGGGAGGCAGCAGUAAGGAAUCUUCCGCAAUGGGCGAAAGCCUGACGGAGCAAUGCCGCGUGAGUGAAGAGGGCCUUCGGGUCGUAAAACUCUGUUAUAAGAGAAGAACAAAUUGUAGAGUAACUGCUACAGUCUUGACGGUAUCUUAUCAGAAAGCCACGGCUAACUACGUGUCAGCCGCCGCGGAAA
rnacentral:rRNA from 1 species